rnacentral:misc_RNA from 1 species
GAGAUGAAAAUUGUGGUUUCAAAGG